AGAGUUUGAUCCUGGCUCAGGACGAACGCUGGCGGCGUGCCUAAUACAUGCAAGUCGAACGAACUCUGGUAUCGAUUGGUGCUUGCAUCAUGAUUUACAUUUGAGUGAGUGGCGAACUGGUGAGUAACACGUGGGAAACCUGCCCAGAAGCGGGGGAUAACACCUGGAAACAGAUGCUAAUACCGCAUAACAACUUGGACCGCAUGGUCCGAGUUUGAAAGAUGGCUUCGGCUAUCACUUUUGGAUGGUCCCGCGGCGUAUUAGCUAGAUGGUGAGGUAACGGCUCACCAUGGCAAUGAUACGUAGCCGACCUGAGAGGGUAAUCGGCCACAUUGGGACUGAGACACGGCCCAAACUCCUACGGGAGGCAGCAGUAGGGAAUCUUCCACAAUGGACGAAAGUCUGAUGGAGCAACGCCGCGUGAGUGAAGAAGGGUUUCGGCUCGUAAAACUCUGUUGUUAAAGAAGAACAUAUCUGAGAGUAACUGUUCAGGUAUUGACGGUAUUUAACCAGAAAGCCACGGCUAACUACGUGCCAGCAGCCGCGGUAAUACGUAGGUGGCAAGCGUUGUCCGGAUUUAUUGGGCGUAAAGCGAGCGCAGGCGGUUUUUUAAGUCUGAUGUGAAAGCCUUCGGCUCAACCGAAGAAGUGCAUCGGAAACUGGGAAACUUGAGUGCAGAAGAGGACAGUGGAACUCCAUGUGUAGCGGUGAAAUGCGUAGAUAUAUGGAAGAACACCAGUGGCGAAGGCGGCUGUCUGGUCUGUAACUGACGCUGAGGCUCGAAAGUAUGGGUAGCAAACAGGAUUAGAUACCCUGGUAGUCCGUACCGUAAACGAUGAAUGCUAAGUGUUGGAGGGUUUCCGCCCUUCAGUGCUGCAGCUAACGCAUUAAGCAUUCCGCCUGGGGAGUACGGCCGCAAGGCUGAAACUCAAAGGAAUUGACGGGGGCCCGCACAAGCGGUGGAGCAUGUGGUUUAAUUCGAAGCUACGCGAAGAACCUUACCAGGUCUUGACAUACUAUGCAAAUCUAAGAGAUUAGACGUUCCCUUCGGGGACAUGGAUACAGGUGGUGCAUGGUUGUCGUCAGCUCGUGUCGUGAGAUGUUGGGUUAAGUCCCGCAACGAGCGCAACCCUUAUUAUCAGUUGCCAGCAUUAAGUUGGGCACUCUGGUGAGACUGCCGGUGACAAACCGGAGGAAGGUGGGGAUGACGUCAAAUCAUCAUGCCCCUUAUGACCUGGGCUACACACGUGCUACAAUGGAUGGUACAACGAGUUGCGAACUCGCGAGAGUAAGCUAAUCUCUUAAAGCCAUUCUCAGUUCGGAUUGUAGGCUGCAACUCGCCUACAUGAAGUCGGAAUCGCUAGUAAUCGCGGAUCAGCAUGCCGCGGUGAAUACGUUCCCGGGCCUUGUACACACCGCCCGUCACACCAUGAGAGUUUGUAACACCCAAAGUCGGUGGGGUAACCUUUUAGGAACCAGCCGCCUAAGGUGGGACAGAUGAUUAGGGUGAAGUCGUAACAAGGUAGCCGUAG
rnacentral:rRNA from 2 species